rnacentral:rRNA from 1 species
UACGAAGGGGGCUAGCGUUGCUCGGAUUGACUGGGCGUAGAGGGCGCGUAGGCGGUUCGUACAGUCAGACGUGAAAUUCCUGGGCUCAACCUGGGGGCUGCGUUUGAUACGUGCGGACUUGAGUGCGGAAGAGGGUCGUGGAAUUCCCAGUGUAGAGGUGAAAUUCGUAGAUAUUGGGAAGAACACCGGUGGCGAAGGCGGCGACCUGGUCCGAUACUGACGCUGAGGCGCGAAAGCGUGGGGAGCGAACAGG